ACUAAGCUAUUUUCUUUCUGGAACAAACAAUGCACGCCUGUAGGGACCCGAAAGAUGGUGAACUAUGUCUGAGCGAGGCGAAGCCAGAGGAAACUGUGGUGGAGGCUCAAAGCGAUACUAACGUGCAAAUCGUUUGUCUGACUUUGGUAUAGGUGCAUAAGACUAAUUGAACCAUCUAGUAGCUGGUUCCCUCCGAAGUUUCCCUCAGGAUAGCUGGAGCCCAUUACGAGUUCUAUCAGGUAAAGCCAAUGAUUAGAGGCAUUGGGGACGCAACGUCCUCGACCUAUUCUCAAACUUUAAAUAGGUAGGAUGGCUCGGCUGCUUCGGUGAGCUGUACCACGGAAUCGGGUGCUCCAAGUCAGCCAUUUUUUGUAAGUAGAACUGGCGAUUCGGGAUGAACCAGAAGUCGGGUUACGGUGCCCAACUGCGCGCUAACCUAGAACCCACAUAGGGUGUUGGUCGAUUAAGACAAUAGGACGGUGGUCAUGGAAGUCGAAAUCCGCUAAGGAGUGUGUAACAACUCACCUGCCGAAUCAACUAGCCCCAAAAAUUGAUGGCGCUGAAGCGUGCGACCCACACCCGGCCAUCUGGGCGAGCGCCAUGCCCCGAUGAGUAGGAGGGCGCGACGUCCGCAGCAAAACCCGGGGCGCGAGCCCAGGCGGAGCGGCCGUCGGUGCAGAUAUUGGUGGUAGUAGCAAAUAUUCAAAUGAGAACUUUGAAUGACAAAGAAGAGAAAGGGUCCAUGUGAACGACACUUGCACAUGGGUAAAAUGAUCCUAAGGGAUGGGGUAACCCCGAUAGAUAGCACGAUCACGCGCAUCCCCCGAAAGGGAAUCGUGUUAAGAUUUCCCGAGCCGGGAUGUGGCGGUUGGCGGCGACGUUAGGAAGUCCGGAGACGCCGGCGGGGGACUCGGGAAGAGUUAUCUUUUCUGCUUAACGGCCUGCCAACCCUGGAAAUGGUUCAACCAGAGUUAGGGUCCAGUGGCAGGAUGAGCACCGUACGUCGCGCGGUGUUCGGUGCGCCCCCGGCGUCCCAUGAAAAUCCGGAGGACCGAGUACCGUUUACGCCUGGUCGUACUCAUAACCGCAUCAGGUCUCUAAUGUGAACAUCCUCUGGCC
rnacentral:rRNA from 16 species